CAUAGCGACUAUCGUGGCAUAUCAAUAAGCGGAGGAAAAGAAACUAACAAGGAUUCCCCUAGUAACGGCGAGUGAAGCGGGAAGAGCUCAAAUUUGAAAUCUUAAAGGGUUUCCCUUUACGAAUUGUAGUUUAAAGAAGUGUUUUCUGUUGGAGUUUCGGUAAAAGUUCUUUGGAAUAGGACAUCAUAGAGGGUGAGAAUCCCGUAUUUGACCGUUACUUUCCAGCUGUGUGAUACACUUUCAAAGAGUCGGAUUGUUUGGGAAUGCAGUCCAAAAUGGGUGGUAAAUUUCAUCUAAAGCUAAAUAUUGGCGAGAGACCGAUAGCGAACAAGUACCGUGAGGGAAAGAUGAAAAGAACUUUGAAAAGAGAGUUAAACAGUACGUGAAAUUGUCAAAAGGGAAGCGUUUGACACCAGUGUUGUUUAGUUGAAAAUCAAUUCAAUAAUUUUUGAUUUUAAGUAGUAUUGACUUCAUCAGCUUGCUGCUUUCUUUUCAGGAAUUAUUGAAUGCACUUUUCAGUUAACAAGUCAACAUCAAUUUCUUUUGUUGUAAAAGGGUAAGAGGAAGGUGGCUUACGCUUCGGCGUAAGUGUUUAUAGCCUUUUACCUCUGCAAUCGGAGAGAUUGAGGUCUGCAGCGUAGACUCUUCGGGGUUAGAUACAUUUAUGCUAAGCUAUAGCCUUGUAUAGACAACUUGUUGACUAUGCUCAGUCAUGUAGCUUACUCGUAGAUGCUAUUUUACCUACGCUUAGGAUGUUGACGCGCGUGUGUGCGUG
rnacentral:rRNA from 1 species